rnacentral:lncRNA from 1 species
AGGCACCAAAGAGAAGGGCAGUGGUUUAGCACUUCUGAGUGGAAACAUGGACGGGAUUCACUUUGGGACAACUUCAGACUGAUAAUUAGAGAGAAGCACUGUGAUGUGACAGAUCCUUGUUACUCCCACAAAGGUUUCUACAAUGUAGCAUCUACUAGUUUCCAUUGCUUCAAGUGUUUACCUCUAGAUGGCUUCCCAGGACAGUGCAUCUGCCUCCAGACCUGACUGAACGUGUGGACUGGAUUCCUUUUGAUGAAUCCUGGUCAUACCCCCAGAUAUAAACCCGAAUUUCUUUCCAGCCCAGCUGUCAAGACAAUACUGUGAGUUUUGAUAUCCUUGAGAUAUUUUGAUAUCCUCAAAGCUUUGCAUUUUAGGUCAUUUCUGAUUGCUGCCACAGCUCCUGGCUGGGGAUGAAUGUGCAGUUACAGCCUCCUCAGAAAAG